rnacentral:rRNA from 1 species
CCACACGACCGUACCGCAAACCGACACUGGUGCGCGAGAUGAGUAUUCUAAGGCGCUUGAGAGAACUCAGGAGAAGGAACUCGGCAAAUUGACACCGUAACUUCGGAAGAAGGUGUGCCUUUAGUAGGUGAACCAUUUACUUGGGGAGCCCAAUGAGGCUGCAAAAAAUCGGUGGCUGCAACUGUUUAUUAAAAACACAGCACUCUGCUAAGACGAAAGUCGACGUAUAGGGUGUGACGCCUGCCCGGUGCUGGAAGAUUAAAUGAUGGGGUGCAAGCUCUUGAUUGAAGUCCCAGUAAACGGCGGCCGUAACUAUAACGGUCCUAAGGUAGCGAAAUUCCUUGUCGGGUAAGUUCCGACCUGCACGAAUGGCGUAAUGAUGGCCACACUGUCUCCUCCUGAGACUCAGCGAAGUUGAAAUGUUUGUGAUGAUGCAAUCUCCCCGCGGAAAGACGGAAAGACCCCAUGAACCUUUACUGUAGCUUUGUAUUGGACUUUGAACAGAUCUGUGUAGGAUAGGUGGGAGGCUUUGAAGUGUGGUCGCUAGAUCGCAUGGAGCCAACGUUGAAAUACCACCCUGGUGUGUUUGAGGUUCUAACCUAGGUCCAUUAUCUGGAUCGGGGACAGUGCAUGGUAGGCAGUUUGACUGGGGCGGUCUCCUCCCAAAGUGUAACGGAGGAGUUCGAAGGUACGCUAGGUACGGUCGGACAUCGUGCUAAUAGUGCAAUGGCAUAAGCGUGCUUAACUGCGAGACUGACAAGUCGAGCAGAUGCGAAAGCAGGACAUAGUGAUCCGGUGGUUCUGUAUGGAAGGGCCAUCGCUCAACGGAUAAAAGGUACUCUGGGGAUAACAGGCUGAUACCGCCCAAGAGUUCAUAUCGACGGCGGUGUUUGGCACCUCGAUGUCGGCUCAUCUCAUCCUGGGGCUGUAGCCGGUCCCAAGGGUAUGGCUGUUCGCCAUUUAAAGAGGUACGUGAGCUGGGUUUAAAACGUCGUGAGACAGUUUGGUCCCUAUCUUCCGUGGGCGCUGCAGAUUUGAGGAAGCCUGCUCCUAGUACGAGAGGACCGGAGUGGACGAACCUCUGGUGUAUCGGUUGUCACGCCAGUGGCAUUGCCGAGUAGCUAAGUUCGGAAGAGAUAACCGCUGAAAGCAUCUAAGCGGGAAACUCGUUUCAAGAUUAGAUCUGCCGGGGCCUUGAGCCCCCUAAAGAGUCGUUCAAGACCAGGACGUUGAUAGGUCAGGUGUGGAAGC